GUCGUUUGUCAUCGCACGGAUUCUGCAAGAGAGAAUAACACGUCUUACUGAAUCCUGAACCCUGGCUGCUACGUCUUAACCAUGUUUCAAGAAGAAGGUUGUUGGAAAUCUUGUGAAAACUGCCUGUUUGUAGUGAACCAUGAGAAGAUAUGAGAAAGUGACCGGACGUGUGGUAUUUCCCGUGGAGGAUGCUUUUCUGGCUGCUGGAAAUGGCAACCGUGCUGCUUCACACAGCUUCUUCAGGCAACUGGACCUCCCAGGCCUUCAUCUGUAAAUGGGUGGGGGGAGGGCAGAUUGGAAAUUUGCCCUUAGCUGGGCAUCUCCCUCCUGCUCUUCACUGGUGGUCCGUAUCCAAUGCCUAAUUUGAGGGUACAAAUGUACCCACUCCUCUCAGAAGGCACAGGUAUCUAUAUGAAUAGUCUUCCAUGAGGGCAAGGCAGGGCUACACUUUGAUGAGGUCACAUUCUCACUUAGAACUUUCUCUUUUGUCUAUCCAUAAUUUCCCUUAUGGAUUUCCCCGCAAAAUGUUGCCUCUGUCAAUCUCUCUAAAGAAUACUGUUUAUGGCAGAAGCCACUCAAACCUCAUACGGUUUGAAGAUGCACACGUUCUAAAUGAACUUUACCCCCUGACCUCCUAUUGAUACUACCAUGAAACAUAAAUAUACAAAUGUCA